rnacentral:rRNA from 1 species
GGUUAAGCUAUUAAGGGCGCACGGAGGAUGCCUAGGCGCCAGGAGCCUAAGAAGGACGCGGCGAACAGCGAAAUUGCCUCGGGGAGCCGUAAGCAGGCUUUGAUCCGGGGAUGUCCGAAUGGGGAAACCCGGCUGGGGUCAUGCCCAGUCAUCCAUGAGUGAAUACAUAGCUCAUGAGAAGGCACACCCAGGGAACUGAAACAUCUAAGUACCUGGAGGAGAAGAAAACAAGAGUGAUUCCGUCAGUAGCGGCGAGCGAAAGCGGAUUAGCCCAAACCUGAGAGCUUGCUCUCAGGGGUUGUGGGACGUCUCACAUGGAGUUACAAAGGAGCAGGUUAGGCGAAGAGAUCUGGAAAGGUCCGGCAUAGAGGGUAAAAGCCCCGUAGCCGAAAGUCUGCUCCCUCCGAGACGGAUCCCGAGUACCGCGGGACACGAGAAACCCCGUGGGAAUCCGGCAGGACCAUCUGCCAAGGCUAAAUACUCCCUGGCGACCGAUAGUGAAGCAGUACCGUGAGGGAAAGGUGAAAAGCACCGCGGGAGCGGAGUGAAAAAAGAACCUGAAACCGUGCGCUUACAAGAAGUCAGAGCCCGAUCUAGGGGUGAUGGCGUGCCUUUUGUAGAAUGAACCGGCGAGUUACGUUUACGUGCGAGGUUAAGUCGGAGAGACGGAGCCGCAGCGAAAGCGAGUCUGAAUAGGGCGCUUGAGUACGUAGUCGUAGACCCGAAACCGGGUGAUCUACCCCUGUGCAGGGUGAAGGUGAGGUAACACUUACUGGAGGCCCGAACUCGUGAGCGUUGAAAAGCUCUGGGAUGACGUGGGGGUAGGGGAGAAAUUCCAAUCGAACUCGGAGAUAGCUGGUUCUCCCCGAAAUAGCUUUAGGGCUAGCCUCGAGAUUUAGCAUCAUGGAGGUAGAGCACUGAUUGGGUGCGGGGCCCGCCAAGGGUUACCAAGUCCAGUCAAACUCCGAAUGCCAUGGAUGUAUGCUCGGGAGUCAGACGGCGAGUGCUAAGAUCCGUCGUCAAGAGGGAAAGAGCCCAGAUCAUCAGCUAAGGUCCCCAAGUGUGUGUUAAGUGGGAAAGGAUGUGGAGUUGCGAAGACAACCAGGAUGUUGGCUUAGAAGCAGCCACCAUUUAAAGAGUGCGUAAUAGCUCACUGGUCGAGUGACUCUGCGCCGAAAAUGUAACGGGGCUAAACACACCACCGAAGCUAUGGCAUGUCGUAGUCUUCACUUUGUUUUGUUGGAACGCCGGGGCAUUUUUUCAAAAACACCCGCCAAGGUUGUUUAAAAAGAUUAACCAAAACGGCGCCGGCAAACAACCCCCCCGCGGGGGGGGGGAGAGACUACGACUUGGGUAGGGGAGCGUUGAAUGCGGGUAGAAGUCGGACCGAGAGGACCGGUGGACUGCAUUCAAGUGAGAAUGCCGGUAUGAGUAACGAAAAGACAGGUGAGAAUCCUGUCCGCCGAAAGCCUAAGGGUUCCUGAGGAAGGUUCGUCCGCUCAGGGUAAGUCGGGACCUAAGGCGAGGCCGAAAGGCGUAGUCGAAGGACAACAGGUUGAAAUUCCUGUACCACCGUAAUCCGUUACGAGCGAUGGGGGGACGCAGGAGGGCAAGAACGCGAGCUGAUGGAAUAGCUCGUCCAAGCAGUAAGGGGUGUGUGUAGGCAAAUCCGCACACUAAUACCUUGAGCUGUGAUGGGGGAGGGGAAAAUUACAGUACCGAAGGUUCCGUGCUCACGCUGCCGAGAAAAGCCUCUAGCCAGGAAAAGGUGCCCGUACCGCAAACCGACACAGGUAGGCGAGAAGAGAAUUCUAAGGCGCGCGGAAGAACUCUCGUUAAGGAACUCGGCAAAAUGACCCCGUAACUUCGGGAGAAGGGGUGCCUCGGUAGGGUGAAUAGCCCGAGGGGGCCGCAGUGAAUAGGCCCAAGCGACUGUUUAGCAAAAACACAGGUCUGUGCGAAGCCGUAAGGCGAAGUAUACGGGCUGACGCCUGCCCGGUGCUGGAAGGUUAAGGGGAGCGGUUAGGGGCAACCCGAAGCUGUGAACCGAAGCCCCAGUAAACGGCGGCCGUAACUAUAACGGUCCUAAGGUAGCGAAAUUCCUUGUCAGGUAAAUUCUGACCCGCACGAAUGGCGUAACGACUUGGGCGCUGUCUCAACGAGAGAUCCGGUGAAAUUUUAGUACCUGUGAAGAUGCAGGUUACCCGCGACGUGACGGAAAGACCCCAUGGAGCUUUACUGUAGCUUGAUAUUGAACUUGGGUACGGUCUGUACAGGAUAGGUGGGAGCCAUUGAAGUAGGAGCGCAAGCUUCUAUGGAGGCGCCGUUGGGAUACCACCCUGAUCGUAUCUAGGUUCUAACCUGUCACCGUGAAUCCGGUGAAGGGACCGUGUCAGGCGGACAGUUUGACUGGGGCGGUCGCCUCCUAAAGCGUAACGGAGGCGCCCCAAGGUUCCCUCAGAAUGGUUGGAAAUCAUUCGAAGAGUGCAAAGGCAUAAGGGAGCUUGACUGCGAGACCUACAAGUCGAGCAGGGACGAAAGUCGGGCUUAGUGAUCCGGUGGUACCGAAUGGAAGGGCCAUCGCUCAACGGAUAAAAGCUACCCUGGGGAUAACAGGCUUAUCUCCCCCAAGAGUCCACAUCGACGGGGGAGGUUUGGCACCUCGAUGUCGGCUCAUCGCAUCCUGGGGCUGAAGUAGGUCCCAAGGGUUGGGCUGUUCGCCCAUUAAAGCGGUACGCGAGCUGGGUUCAGAACGUCGUGAGACAGUUCGGUCCCUAUCUGUCGCGGGCGUAGGAAAUUUGAGAGGGGCUGUCCUUAGUACGAGAGGACCGGGAUGGACGCACCGCUGGUGUACCAGUUGUUCCGCCAGGAGCAUCGCUGGGUAGCCAAGUGCGGGAGGGAUAAGCGCUGAAAGCAUCUAAGCGCGAAGCCCGCCUCAAGAUGAGAUUUCCCAGUAUGUAAGACCCCUGGAAGAACACCAGGUUGAUAGGCUCGGGGUGUAAGCAUGGCAACAUGUGUAGCUGACGAGUACUAAUCGGUCGAGGGCUUAUCCUA